GUACAUAAUGCAAUGUAACACACCUGAUAUUUAGUCUAAGCUCACUAAAUGCCAUUCUGUAAAUUAAUUUGCAUUUCAAUCAGAGAAACUAACAGCUCUUUAUGUAAGAUCAAGUCCAUAACACAGUGCUGCGAAGUAAAAUAAGAGAAAACUGAAGAGCAACUGUUGGCCUCGUAUAAUGUAGUCUUAAACGUAAAGCUGAGGGCCAAUACAAAUCUGUCCGAAGGCCACAUUUGGCUCUGAGCCAGACUUCAGACUUUUUUUUUCUGCCAUAGAAGAAUAUCUUUAGUUCCAUAAAGAACAAUGUUUUUAAAAUAGAUGUGUGUGAGUGAAAAGAACCUUUAAAUUGGUUUUAAAAAACCCUUUGCAUCUCAUAUAAGGUUCUUUUUAUUCACACCUAUAUUAAAACAUGUUUCCUUUUGUAAAUGGUUAAUUUAUGGCUUCACUUAAAGAACUAGUUGAAGCACCUGAGUGGUUUAAUGCUUGGUUGGGUUUCUAUAGUGUGUGUAUUAGCGUUAGUGUGUGCUCGGUUCUGAACAUACUAUUCAGUGCUGUUUUAAAACAAAGAAGAUGGUUAUGGAAGUAAAACAGUGUCACCAGAUUUUGAAUUUUAAAAGCACUUGAAUAUUUAGCACUGACUUAUUUUACAUUGAAUUAUUGCAUGUGAUUUUUUUUUGCCUCUGAAUUAAACACUUUAAUUUUUCAGUAUAUCAUUUUCACUUAUUUUAUUUUAAUGUAAAAAAAUUCAAAAGCAAAAAUUCAAGUUUUAAAAAUUCAAUUAAAAUAAAUUCAGGUUGCUCAAAUUCGACCUGUCAAAUUCGACUGCUAAAAUACAACGCUCAAAAUUCGCUGUCAACAUCCGGGACACACAGGAUGAGCAAUCGAUUCAGUCUUCAAUCGAGCCAACAACCAGCCAAUCACAUCACGCUCCGAAGAUCACGUGACAGGUAGCGCCUCAGUACAGCAGAGCCGCUCAACGCGGCUCACAGCCCCCUCCGCUGCUGCUCUCGAGAAGGAUAUUUUCUCCCAGAAAAAGAAAGGAUAAUAAAAGGUUUCCUUUCUCCAAACUUUUAAAGAACAAAUAAAGAAAUCCAAUUUCAUGCA